CNGGGAGGGCAAGUCUGGUGCCAGCAGCCGCGGUAAUUCCAGCUCCAAUAGCGUAUAUUAAAGUUGUUGCAGUUAAAAAGCUCGUAGUUGAAUUUCGAGACCGGUUUACUGGUCGUGCUUUUGUACGUACUGGUAUUAUUGGUUUCUCCUUUCUGACGAAUCAUAAUGCCAUUAAUUUGGUGUUUUGGGGAAUCAGGACUGUUACUUUGAAAAAAUUAGAGUGUUUAAAGCAGGCUCACGCUUGAAUACAUUAGCAUGGAAUAACGAAAUAGGACGUUUGAUUUUAUUUUGUUGGUUUCUAGGAUCGACGUAAUGAUUAAUAGGGAUAGUUGGGGGCAUUAGUAUUCAAUUGUCAGAGGUGAAAUUCUUGGAUUUAUUGAAGACUAACUACUGCGAAAGCAUUUGCCAAGGAUGUUUUCAUUAAUCAAGAACGAAAGUUAGGGGAUCGAAGACGAUCAGAUACCGUCGUAGUCUUAACCAUAAACUAUGCCGACUAGGGAUCGGAUGAUGU
rnacentral:rRNA from 1 species